rnacentral:rRNA from 1 species
GACGAACGCUGGCGGCGUGCUUAACACAUGCAAGUCGAACGGAAAGGCCCUGCUUUUGUGGGGUGCUCGAGUGGCGAACGGGUGAGUAACACGUGAGUAACCUGCCCUUGACUUUGGGAUAACUUCAGGAAACUGGGGCUAAUACCGGAUAGGAGCUCCUGCUGCAUGGUGGGGGUUGGAAAGUUUCGGCGGUUGGGGAUGGACUCGCGGCUUAUCAGCUUGUUGGUGGGGUAGUGGCUUACCAAGGCUUUGACGGGUAGCCGGCCUGAGAGGGUGACCGGCGAGAUUGGGACUAAGAUACGGCCCAGACGCCUACGGGAGGCAGCAGUGGGGAGUAUUGCACAAUGGGCGGAAGCCUGAUGCAGCAACGCCGCGUGCGGGAUGACGGCCUUCGGGUUGUAAACCGCUUUCGCCUGUGACGAAGCGUGAGUGACGGUAAUGGGUAAAGAAGCACCGGCUAACUACGUG